rnacentral:rRNA from 1 species
UGUGGUGAUGAUGGCGAGAAGGAUACACCUGUUCCCAUGUCGAACACAGAAGUUAAGCUUCUUAGCGCCGAGAGUAGUUGGGGGAU